AUUAAUAUAACUUUGCGCGUGGACUAACUUUCGGUGUAUCCAAAGAUCAUCAUCAAGUCAAACAUUCAACAUCAAAAAAUAGACUCAAUCCUCGCGUGAAGGCGAAACGUCGUCUAUCGCGAUAUUUUUCCAGCAUUGAAUACAUGUCUCCGUGCGUUGAGUGUCUGUCAGAGCUACUUUCCGAAGGGCGACGAGCGUUUCGCUCAACGAUCGCGCGAUGUAAUCAUUUCUCUCGGAUUCCGAAGUGGCUUGACGCGUUUCAACGAUUCAGCAUAUUAAGACCACACUUUGAUGUAUACCGAAACUGGAAGUGGCGACAGAUACGACAGCUUGGUCUUUGCUAAGCUUGAAAUCGCACACCAAGAACGACGCCACGAUCGGCACGACGAGGGAAGUGCUCGCCUCUGCUAGCGACAGCAAACCGACGAGGACGAUGAGAAAGUGAUGAUAUAUACCCCAUCCUGCAUUUUUGAAAAAACCGCAAGGCUCGAAACGAGAAAUGGCGUAAUCACGAUAUCGCGUUAAUGUCACGUGUAUGAUACAUUCUCACACGCAACAUUACCUUGGAAAUAUCACAACCAUAAACGUCCGCAAGGUAUAAGUAAUUUCGUCGCUUAUUCAGGAUCCGUACCUGCUUCCGUUAUUGCGGUCUCGUACUCGUUACUCAUGCCACAUGAAAAAAAUAAUGCAAUGAUUUUGCCUUCAAACGCACCGAUGAAGCGGUUAUAGUUACUGGCUGGCAAAUUUCAAUGAAUUAUUUAAUCAAACAUAAACGAAAAAUGCGGAACCAAGUUUGUCCGUGAAAUUUGGUUGCAUGCGCUUGAGAGUUUUCGCGUUGAAUUAUCACCAAUUCUAACAAUUAUGAGAGAUAAUAAUAGCCAUUACGAAAACACGAUAAAGUGGAGCUUGAUGUGACACUUCUGACGAACUUCACUGCAGUUGUGACAAACAUUGGCUUCCACUGCAGCGAUCGUUUGAUAUACGGAGUAAUUAGCGACUAGUACAUCAGGUGGAAUGUCGGGAGAAAUUGGCGGCAACACAAGUACAAAAUAAACCUGUUUAUUACUAAAGACAACUAAGAGCAAAUAUUUUAGGUGUCAUACUGUUUUAGCGCGAUAUGUGUACUUAGUUAUACUAAAUAGACACGCAAGUAAAUGUAAUUGUGUUGAAUAGGAGGUUUACGCGGCGCGCAAAGAUACAAACACACAACGCGAAUAUAUCCAAUAGGACGUACAAAGAAA